CAGACUUCUAAUGGCCAAUGUUAUCUAAUGUUAAACAAAGAAGACUGGUCCCUGACAAGCUAUCUGAAAAGCUGCUCACAGCUGCAGGCGCAACAGGGGCAUAAGCAGCUUUCUAUGGCUGGAUUAAAGAUCUUGUCUACACACCCUCUCCUCAUGUUUGCACAGAGGAGUAGGAGGCUGAAGAGCAGACUCUGAACUCCCUGCAGACUGAAAUCGGCCAUGAAUCUUUACCCCUGGCAUUGAAAUGGAGAAGAAUAACCCACCAACCUGGUGAAGUAUCCUCCCAGACCAGCUGAGGAUUGCUGAAAGAACAUGUGGAAGAAGCGUUUUUCUUUCAUAGGAAUCUCUCCCAUCUUAGACAGCUGGACUGAACAAAUUUGGGAAGUAAGUAGUCUUGCCUUGAUUAAAUCAAUGUGCAUUGGAAAAGUGGUGAUGAGAGGUUUGUUGGCACUAGUUGACCAUCUUGGUUAAAUUAGCUUCAUUGCUCAGGCGGAAAAAAUGUUCCUGAUCAGCAUUAAAUAUAAAAGAUCUAAACAUCUCGGGCUAUGUCUAGACUAUAGGACUUUAUCACAAAAAGGUACACAAAUUGUGCUCUGCAAUUUGC